rnacentral:rRNA from 1 species
CCUACGGGUGGCAGCAGUGAGGAAUAUUGGUCAAUGGGCGCGAGCCUGACCCAGCAACGUCGCGUGAGGGAAGACGGUCCUAGGGUUGUAAACUCUCUUUUAUCGGGGAGAGAAAGAGCCCACGCGUGGCGUUCCAAGAGUACCCGAAGAAAAAGCAUCUGCUAACUCCGUGACAGCAGCCGCGGUAAUACGGAGGACGCGAGCGUUAUCCGGAUGUAUUGGGUUUAAAGGGUGCGCAGGCGGAAGAUCAAGUCAGCGGUAAAAUUGAGAGGCUCAACCUCUUCGAGCCGUUGAAACUGGUUUUCUUGAGUGAGCGAGAAGUAUGCGGAAUGCGUGGUGUAGCGGUGAAAGGCAUAGAUAGCACGCAGAACUCCGAUUGCGAAGGCAGCAUACCGGCGCUCAACUGACGCUCAUGCACGAAAGUGUGGGUAUCGAACAGGAUUAGAUACCCUUGUAGUC